rnacentral:rRNA from 1 species
GUUGAACGCUGGCGGCAGGCCUAAUACAUGCAAGUCGAACGAGUGGAGGACGGGCGAGUAAUGUCUGGGAAACUGCCUAAUCGACGCAGCUGACUGCGGGAAAAGGUAGCUAAUACCGCAUACGACCCUAUGUGCCCAGAUGGGAUUAGCUAGUAGGUGGGGUAAAGGCUGACCUAGGCGACGAUCCCUAGCUGGCCUGAGAGGCUGACCAGCCACACUGGAACUGAGACACGGCCCAGACUCCUACGGGAGGCAGCAGUGGGGAAUAUUGGACAAUGGGCGAAAGCCUGAUGCAGCCACGCCGCGUGUGUGAAGAAGGUCUUCGGGUUGUAAAGUACUUUCAGCGGGGAGGCGUUACCUGCAGAAGAAGCACCGGCUAACUCCGUGCCAGCAGCCGCGGUAAUAC